rnacentral:pre_miRNA from 1 species
UCUUAGGGAUGAGCAAAGAAAGUGGUUUCUUGAGAUGGAAUCUACUCUUAGUGAAGAUUAUGUGAA